CAGCCGCCGCGGUAAUACCGGCGGCCCGAGUGGCGGUCACUCUUAUUGGGCUUAAAGCGUCCGUAGCCGGGUUGGGAAAUCCUCCGGGAAAUCUGGCCGCUUAAAGGUCAGAAUGCCGGAGGAUACUCCCAGCCUAGGGAGCGGGAGAGGCCGAGGGGAUUCCCGGGGUAGGGGGGAAAUCCUAUAAUCCCGGGAGGACCACCUGUGGCGAAGGCGCUCGGCUGGAACGCGUCCGACGGUGAGGGACGAAGGCCAGGGGAGCAAACCGGAUUAGAUACCCGGGUAGUCCUGGCUGUAAACGAUGCGGACUUUGUGUCGGACAAGCUAUGAGCUUGUCCGGUGCCGGAGGGAAACCGUUAAGUCCGCCGCCUGGGGAGUACGGCCGCAAGGCUGAAACUUAAAGGAAUUGGCGGG
rnacentral:rRNA from 1 species